UACGUAGGGGGCUAGCGUUGUCCGGAAUCAUUGGGCGUAAAGCGCGUGUAGGCGGUUUGGUAAGUCCGCUGUGAAAGUCGGGGGCUCAACCCUCGAAUGCCGGUGGAUAGUGUCGAACUAGAGUGCGGAAGAGGCGAGUGGAAUUCCUGGUGUAGCGGUGAAAUGCGCAGAUAUCAGGAGGAACACCAAUUGCGAAGGCAGCUCGCUGGGACGUAACUGACGCUGAGACGCGAAAGCGUGGGGAGCAAACAGG
rnacentral:rRNA from 1 species